UACGUAGGGCGCAAGCGUUGUCCGGAAUUAUUGGGCGUAAAGAGCUCGUAGGCGGUCUGUUACGUCGGCUGUGAAAACCUGGGGCUCAACCCCGGGCCUGCAGCCGAUACGGGCAGACUAGAGUUCGGCAGGGGAGACUGGAAUUCCUGGUGUAGCGGUGAAAUGCGCAGAUAUCAGGAGGAACACCAGCGGCGAAGGCGGCGCUCUGGGCCGGAACUGACGCUGAGGAGCGAAAGCGUGGGUAGCAAACAGG
rnacentral:rRNA from 1 species